rnacentral:rRNA from 1 species
UACGGGGGGGGCAAGCGUUGUUCGGAAUUACUGGGCGUAAAGGGCUCGUAGGUGGCCAACUAAGUCGGACGUGAAAUCCCCGGGCUCAACCCGGGAACUGCGUCCGAUACUGGUGGGCUUGAAUCCGGGAGAGGGAUGCGGAAUUCCCGGUGUAGCGGUGAAAUGCGUAGAGAUCGGGAAGAACAUCGGUGGCGAAAGCGCUCUACUGGGCCAUAACUGACACUCAGGGACGAAAGCUAGGGGAGCGAAUGGG